AUUGAACGCUGGCGGCAGGCCUCACACAUGCCAGUCGAACGAGUGGCGGACGGGUGAGUAAUCUCUGGGAAACUGCCUGAUGGAGGGAGAUAACUACUGGAAACGGUGGCUAAUACCGCAUACCAUUACAUGUGCCCAAAUCGGAUUAGCUUGUUGGUGGGGUAAAGGCUACCCAAGACGACGAUCCGUAGCUGGUCUGAGAGGAUGACCCGCCACAGUGGGACUGAGACACGGUCCAGACUCCUACGGUAGUCAGAAGUGGGGAGUGUUGGACAAUGGGGGCAAGCCUGAUGCAGCCAGGCCGCGUGUAUGAAGAGGGCCUUCGGGUUGUAAAGUACGUUUGGCGGAGAGGCGUUACCGGCAGAAUAAGCACCGGCUAACUAAGUGUCAGCAGCCGCGGUAAUUC
rnacentral:rRNA from 1 species